UACUAUUUAGACGGUGCUGCUAUAUCCCUGACUCUGACUGAUCCGUAACAUGAAAAUAAUUCCUGUCUCAUGUAGAUGCCGUGAAGUUGAAAUGAAAUUAAAUGGGAUAAUUUACAUAAUAUACAGCAUUGUGAUCCUAGGUGUGCGCAAUCUUAGUGUCUGACUUAAUUUAGAAAUGUAAGCUCUACCGGGAUCUAAUAAAAGUGUUCACCUCCUGAGCAAGAAUAACACUGGGCAGCUACAGGGUUAUUUUUCAUUCUUACAUUCUAGCCAGCAAAAUAAUUCUUCUGAACUGAAUAUAUACUGUGGGCCAGACAUUUUGUUGGUGUCUAAAAAAACAGAGUAAUAAUAAUAAUAAUUAGCACACAACAGCUGUGGCCAGUGUGGCUCAGUUGGUAGAGCAUCAUCCUGAGCACAGAAAGGUUGUGGGUUCGAUUCCCAGUCCGGGCACCUGUCCCGGUUGUGGGUUUGGUCCCUGGUUGGGGUGCGUAGGGGAGGCAACCAGUCGAUGUUUCUCUCUAGUAUCGAUGUUUUUCUCUCUCUCCCUCUCCCUUCCUCUCUCUCUAAAAUCAAUAGAAAUAUAUUUUAAAACAAUAACAAAGUACUUGCCCUCAUGUAGCUCACAGUCUAGUGAGGGUGAGAGACAAGACAGCAGAUUUUUAGUUGAGUCAAGGUCUCUCAAUAACAUGUUGGGUCCUCGGUGAGAGGAAGCACUGAACUGAGAUGGGACACGAUUGGAGGUGAGGUGGUUAAGGAAGGCUCCUGCAAGAGGUGAUGCUGGAACUAAGUCUUGAAGGAAGAGUAGAAAUUAUCGACAAAGGAAGGGAAAAGAAAGCUCAGUCCAGGCAGAGGGAGCAGCGAUACAAAAAUCCUGGGGUGCAAAGAGCAGUCCCAUUCUAGGAAGAGCAAAUUGCCUGACAAGGGUAGAGAGUGAGCACAUUUAGUGGGAGGCAAGCAAAGAGACAGGAAAAACAAGGCAGCCUCGUGUCAUGAAGGGAGAUGGAUGCCGGCUGAGGGACCUUGAUUUUAUCCCGAAGGCGAUGGUAAGUCAUGGAAAGCUGCAAGCAGAGGAAUGACCUGCUGGCCUUGGUCUGCUCACUCUGGAGGCCGUGUGGAGGAGGGGCUGGAGGACAGGAGACCGGGAGGGCACUAUUCCAGAAAUGUAGGCAAGACAUUCUGGAGCUACACUGAGGCCACGGGGAAGGUGACCCCACAAUCUUAGAUCCACAUACAAAUUGACAAAUGUAUCCUACCCUGUAGUAGAUGCUCAUUAAGAAAAGGCACCUGCAGACUCGUUCUCUCUUCCUCUCCCUCUCUCCCUCUCUCUCUCUCUCUCUCUUUCUGGAACACACCCGUGCCUUUCCCACCCCCUUCUCAGGCACACUCCCUCUGGAGCACGCCCACACCUUUCCCCCUCUCCUUACCCCAGGCUCGCUUCCUUCGCCUUCUCCCUCCUAAGCUCCAAGGGCACUCCUUUGGCCUCUAUAACUUGUUUCCUGAGCCCACGCAGCCCAGCUGGCUCACUUCUUCUGCCUCUGUGACUUGCUAAAUAAACUUUUGCUUGUAAAAUAAAAAGAGAAAAGGCAUCUGCCUACGUCCAAUCCCUCAGGGUGGGAGGACCUAUUAAAGGUGCUGCAGCAAGGAAGGGCACAGACGUAAACUUUGGAAUGUAGGACCUUCUAGGUCCUAGAAGGAGGGCCCCCAAAAUAUUUAUACAGAUAAUUUCUAGGUGGCAGGAUGUUGGGUGAUUUGUAUAAUUCUUUCUCCAAUGAAUGAGUUGUUUAUGUAUUUUUUUUUUUUUUUAAGAAUUAAAUGAUGAAAAGAAAUCAACCCAAGAACUUUGGCUCUAAGGCAGCGGUUCUCAACCUGUGGGUCGCGACCCCUUUGGCGGUCGAACGACCUUUUCACAGGGGUCGCCUAAGACCAUCCUGCAUAUCAGAUGUUUACAUGACGAUUCAUAACAGUAGCAACAUGACAGUUAUGAAGUAGCAACGAAAAUAAUUUUAUGGUUGGGUCACCACAUGAGGAGCUGUAUUUAAAGGGCCAGGAGGUUGAGAACCGCUGCAGGGGAAUCGGGAAAUCCAGGACAUUCAUCGGACACUAGAGGAUGGAUAGUUCAGAGGUCAAGACCCAGUUUGGAGUCCGUGAGGGUGAGAAGAUUUGGGCUCAGACAGGAGAAUAAGUGCCUCUAUUUUAGGGGGAUCCUGGUGAGCAGAGUUGAGCUUGUCAAGAAGGCAGUGAGGGCACCCCCCAAAAGAUGUGACGACGUGCCAGGGGAGCAUUUGGUAGAGGGAUGGGGAGCGCGUGCUCCGUGCGCAGGCAGAUUUUCAGUGGGUGGCUGAAAGACAGGAGGGGAAGGAUUGUGUAACCAAGUUGUGGGGAAGGAGAAUAGUAGCCUAUUGUUGGAGACCCGAUAAACACAUCUUGGGGGCGUGGGCUUGACAUAAGUUCCAAGACAGCUUAAUGAUCCGUCACCAGUCCUCUCCUAGGAUGAGUCACUGGAGAAUUAGAUUAACCCAGUUCAGCCUCCCUUGCCCCUGCUUCUGCAACACAGCCGCUGAGAUAGGGCGGCCGGACUCCUCUCACAACGGAGCCUCCGGCCUGUCCAGUGGGGGAGAUAAAGCCAGCCAGCCUCAUCGAUCAUCCUUGGGCAGCCCCAGUCUCCCCUUCACUUCCCGUGUUCAGGAUUUGGGUCAACAGGCACCUGGCACAGGCAGAGGCCCUCCCCUCUGCGGUGGUAUUCUGAGCGCUCCAGCGACGAGGUGUAGGUGGACAGCUGCUGAAUGGGCCCGGGACUCUGAGCAGCAGCAGCACCCAGCAGGAUGAGCCCGGCUUGUGCAGGAGCGCCUUAAUGAGCUUGGAAACUGGUGGCCCGGGAAUCGCAGCCAACAGCAGUCACAUCAGGAAUGGAAAUAAGAAAGCGCUGGAAGAAAUGAGCAGCCUGGCACGUCUUUCACCAGACGCUCUGGGUGUCCGUUCUGGUCCAUUCCGCUGAGGCCGUGUGACAUGGCAUGUUAUUCAACCCAUUGGCAUCCCAGUCUCCUUGGCUGCAAACUGCUGGUAACAUCCCGUCAGAGCCCCAGAGACCGACAGGGAAGCCUCAGGGAGAGCUUGCUGUGUGUGCCUGCCCCUGUUCUAAGGGCUUUCAUGUACAUUAACUCUGUCAUUAGCAGGAACCCUACAUAAGAUACAUAAUGGUAUGACUAUCAUCUUCCUUAAAGGUGAGAUAACCAAGACAUGGGGAAGCUGAGAACUUGCCCAAAUCACAUACUAGUGUGGAGUCCAGACUUAAACCUGGGCAGCCAGGCUCCGGACUCCAUCCUCAAACCACCUCGUUCGCUUCCUCCAUCAGCCGCGAGAUGCUUUACAAAUAGACGAGCUAAUUCUUAGCUGUGACGGACAUUUCCAGGGGGCCCAUCACCACGUACAUAGGCCCCAUCACCACAUGUUUGUGGUUGCCGGGGCUUUCACGCAGGAAAGGACGGGGCUGAUGGUUGUGUCCACCGCGUGCUGAGCGCCUAGCCUUGAUUCUUACAGAACCGUGGACAAUGCAGGACAGAGAUGCGGAGGACUGGUGACUUGCCACAGCGGGGAGCUCCGAAAUCAAAGAGACUCAUCUGAUUUCAAACUUCCCAGGGCAGGGCAGUGUGACAGCAAAGAGAGGAAGUGAGAGGGGAGGUGGAGAGAGAAAUAAAACAUCAAAGAUGAGAGAGAAGCAUCGAUCGGCUGCCUCCUGCAUGCCCCACACCAGGGAUCGAGCCCACAACCCAGGCAUGCGCCCUGGCUGGGAAAUGAACUAUGACCUCCUCCUGGUUCACAGGUUAACACUCAACCACUGAGCCACACCGGCCGGCGGAUCAUCUUUUAUUAAAGCUUUUAUUUCCUACCCAUUCCCAAUUCCCCACCACUUCCCCAAAACCAACUAAUAAAUCGCCUGUACAAGA